ensembl:lncRNA novel transcript
AAACUGGUAGCCUGGGGUUAGUGGGAGAGGGUCAAAGAAUUCACAGAACAAAAGGUGUGCAAUAGGAGAUAGCACAAAUAGUAUUUAAAAGCAAGCAUUAGGCCAUUAAACUUCUGAGUCAGAUGUCAGACAAGCCUGGGUCUGAGGCUCAGCUCCCUCACUUACUAGUCACUGGACCCUGAUCAGUGAUUCACUCCCUCUAAGCCUCACUCUUCUCAUUCUAUGCUUGUAUAAUCCUUGCCAGAAGAGAAUCUGCUUCAAAAUUUUGUCAUGAAGAAUAACAGUAAUAACUGCCUAUGAAAACUCAGCUGUACAUAAUGCCUGAAACACGUGCUGGGGACUGAAUGCUGCCCUCCAAUAGGAUGGAGACUGAAUGCUGCCCACCAGCAGGACAGUGCCUCCAUGGAUGUGACCAUGGCAGAGAAAAACCCAGUGAGGCUCCAGAUCUGAGCCUGUCUCCCUAGGAAAAGCAAACCCAGGAUCUGGGUAUCCUGCCUGCUCAUUUUCCCUGAAUGAAGAUGAACUCUUCCCCAACCCUUAU